rnacentral:rRNA from 1 species
CCCGCGCGGGCGUCCCAUCAAGACACACCCCCAAGUUUGACCUCGGAUCAGGUAGGGAUACCCG